GUUCUCUGAUACAUAAUUACUUCAUGUUAAUAGUAACUAUGCAUUAGAUAUCAAUAGCUCUAAUACAUAAUUACUGUUAACAGAAAUGAGAUAAGUCAUUUUUAGGUGUCAAACAAACACGGCCAUAUGAUUUACACAAUUCAUCUUUAUGAUGGGUAGUAAAUUACAAGCCCCCUACUCUGGUACACAACAUGCAUGUGGUGAUCAAGUCCAUCCAUCUGUUUUGCGCACCGAUCAGCAAAAGCAUGUAGCAAUCUAGGGCUGAUGUUGGAAAUUUCAGGAGUUGAGUGGUGCCAUCCAGCUAGCUAGCAAGAUGUUCUCAUCAAACUUUGAUGGGCCCCACAGGGUUGAUGGCUAUCUGAAUCACUUUUUAAAUUGUUGCAAGUUUCUUUGGACCGAUGUUUAUGCACCAAGUAAUCAGACAUUACUAACCAUAUGAUUGAUUGUCCAUUUUUCGCAUACAAAUGUGGGCCACCCAUUGAGUAGACCAAUAUGAUUUUUGGGCUUGAGCAUUAGCAUAGUGUGCCUUUACCUGUCAUGCACUGCUCCUGUGUACCUCAAGCAGCGUUCAUCUAAUUGUAUUCAUUGUAUGGGCUGUUUUUGAAAAAUGAUACAAAUAAAUGUUUGCUAGGUGUUUCUAUAUCAAGCAAGGCGAGCCUUAGAUCAGAAAGUGAGAAGCAAAACAUGCAUGGAACUCAGCAGAGAACAUUUACCUGUUAAACCAGAAAGUAACAAGAAGUUGUUCACUCGUUUGUUAUAUUUAUGCCCAAAAAAAAAAGAGGCAAGGUUCCCCUGUUUACAGUGCAAGAAGCACAUUAGCUCCCCUGGUACUUCCUAGGUUCUCCUUGUCUUAUCUACAAUGCGUUUAAACAUUAGAUUUCAUCUUACCUUUCUCAUUCCAUCAAACUGCCAUAGUUUUGCUUAAUUCACAUCUAAGACAUCUACGACAAAAAUCAGCAUUCUUUUCUUGUAUUUUUCUUUAUUGUGAGGAUACUUAGUUUCCCAGAAUAUGUUUCAGUUGGAUUUGAGUGACGAAGCAAAUGAGGCAUUGUCUACUUCAUUGCAGCUAAUGAUAAACAAAAACUGUGCCAUGAUGUUGGUGAGCUACAUCAGGCAUCCAUCUCUCACUUCUCAUAUUAAAGGAACGGGCCAAAAGAAGGGAAGCGAUGAUUGACUGAUGAUAGAAAGCAUCCCCACGAUGGAGAAUGAACAUAGAAAGAUCUUUCCACAUUGAGGAAAGCUCUCUCAACUUGCAUUAGGAAGUGGACACUUAGAAUGCCUAAGAUGAGAAGCGACAAUAGCUGGUGAAUGCCAACACUCAAAGAAUUGAAUCAUCUAGGAACAAGCCUAUUGGAUAUCCUUGGCGACCAUCUAUCUUAUGGACAUUUCUUUGUGGAUCUGUCUCACCUAUGUCCUUUGGGAAGUUGAGUACAUAGUCUAUGAUCCAUAGAUACUUUUGGAGAGCUAACAUAUCUAUAUCAAGUUGAAAGACACACCAUUGCUACAAACCUCACCACAUAAGUGGCAAUAACGAGAGUGGCGAGCUGCUGCUAGUUCACGAGAUUCUUCUGUCAGUUAUAGAUGGAGGGUUAGAGAGCACUGAUUGUCUUGCAGGCACCUGACUUGUCAAUGACAUUGAAUUUGUAAUCUUCGUUUCCAUGGAGUUGAUGUUUACAAAUGUUAAAUUAAGCCAAAUGUGAAUGUAGACCAUGUGUAAUUUGUACGUGGAUCGGAUGAUGUUUACCUUUCCAUAAACUUCUUUUUUUCCUUCCAAAUCUAUAGAUAUGGACAUACCAAUUUGACUAGGACGAAAGUAAUAGUUAAAUUUGUGAAUGCGGCACCAUGGGAACUUGUACAAACAGCAUAGCUGAACUAUGGGACAAUAAUAACUUGGAUUAGGUAGCUGAGAUAUGGCUCUGCAAGAUGGUAUGCUGAUGGCGGUUAAGAUAGGCUUGGUGGGUAAUGUUCCAGUUUUAUUCAAGCUUUAUGACAAGUGUGGGUAUGGGAUGCCAGGAGGUGAAACUCAUACCCACAGCAAACUGCAUUGAUGCAACGACUGUCGUAAGUGAGGCUAUUUCUUCAGUCCAUCAUCUUUCCAACCAGACCACACAGUGUGCAGUGGAGAUAUGAAACAGUGAGUAAUGUAGAUAUGGGGUUCACAUCUC